rnacentral:rRNA from 1 species
UACAUGGGGUGCAAACGUUGCUCGGAAUUAUUGGGCGUAAAGCGCGCGUAGGCGGUUACUUAAGUCGGAUGUGAAAGCCCUCGGCUUAACUGAGGAAGUGCACCCGAAACUGAGUAGCUAGAGUACGAUAGAGGGUCGCGGAAUUCCCGGUAUAGAGGUGAAAUUCGUAGAUAUCGGGAGGAACACCGGUGGCGAAGGCGGCGACCUGGGUCGAGACUGACGCUGAGGCGCGAAAGCGUGGGGAGCAAACAGG